CGACCUGAGCUCAGGCAAGAUUACCCGCUGAACUUAAGCAUAUCAAUAAG
rnacentral:rRNA from 1 species